GUGAUCACUUAACAGUUGUGAAUGCGUUUGAGGGCUGGGAAGAGGCUAGGCGACGUGGUUUCAGAUACGAAAAGGACUAUUGCUGGGAAUAUUUUCUGUCUUCAAACACACUGCAGAUGCUGCAUAACAUGAAAGGACAGUUUGCUGAGCAUCUUCUUGGAGCUGGAUUUGUAAGCAGUAGAAAUCCUAAAGAUCCAGAAUCUAAUAUAAAUUCAGAUAAUGAGAAGAUAAUUAAAGCUGUCAUCUGUGCUGGUUUAUAUCCCAAAGUUGCUAAAAUUCGACUAAAUUUGGGUAAAAAAAGAAAAAUGGUAAAAGUUUACACAAAAACCGAUGGCCUGGUUGCUGUUCAUCCUAAAUCUGUUAAUGUGGAGCAAACAGACUUUCACUACAACUGGCUUAUCUAUCACCUAAAGAUGAGAACAAGCAGUAUAUACUUGUAUGACUGCACAGAGGUUUCCCCAUACUGUCUCUUGUUUUUUGGAGGUGACAUUUCCAUCCAGAAGGAUAACGAUCAGGAAACUAUUGCUGUAGAUGAGUGGAUUGUAUUUCAGUCUCCAGCAAGAAUUGCCCAUCUUGUUAAGGUGACUGACUUUAUGUGAUUAUCUUAAAUCUACAUGAAUUAAGAAAGGAACUAGAUAUUCUUCUGCAAGAGAAGAUUGAAAGUCCUCAUCCUGUAGACUGGAAUGACACUAAAUCCAGAGACUGUGCAGUACUGUCAGCUAUUAUAGACUUGAUCAAAACACAGGAAAAGGCAACUCCCAGGAACUUUCCGCCACGAUUCCAGGAUGGAUAUUACAGCUGACAGCUUUUCAGGGGUGGUCUGAAAAGCCAGUUUGACAGCCAUUCUUCAUCAUUGUUUAAAUUUUGGCUGGAUGCCAAACCCUGGGACAUGAACAAUUUUCAUGUGUAAGGUAGAAGCCUUCAGUAGGUAGUAAAGACUUAAUGUGCAUGACUUGAUGUUAUAUGUAGAGAUAUAUAUAUAUAUAUAUAUAUACCAUAAAAGCAAUAUGUUCUCUGAUCAUAUACUCUGCUGUGGUCAUGCCCACUCUUUGGGAGUAUAUUCCCUUUAUAUAUAUUGAGUAUUGUACCACUUGAGAAAUUCCUUUGUUCUGUUAUACAAAAUUAAUCUUUCUGCUCAUAAUGAUUGAUGAUACCACCAGUAAAAAUAGGAUGUUUACCCCAAAACAAGUGUCAAUUAAGAAUUUGAACACAACCACAUUUUUUAAAAUGAAACUUCUAUCGGAAGUAAAUUAAUUUGUUGUAAUAAAGUCCAGUAUUUAAUAAAAUGUACAAUGUUAAAUCUC
rnacentral:lncRNA from 1 species